CACGGGAAUAGCAGUUUGAUAGAUUAGUCUCAGUUUUACACAAAAUAUUAUGAAUUCAAGAUAAGAUAGAUAAAUUCAAAUCCAGUAAUAAUUCAAUUUCGUUAGAAAUUGAACGUAUCCGAUGUCCCCUUCUGCAAUUAAUGAUUUAUAUUAUAUAAUACAUAAUAAUAGUACUACUUAUAAAUAUUAAGUAUUAAUAUAAUGAUUUUUUAUAACCUGCACUACAGCAUUACGAUAAAAAAGAUUUCUGGGGAGGGCAAAUGGCCCCAGUGCCCGUUCCUGGUUACAGCACUUCGUACAAUUAUUACUGAAUUUUAAAGCAUGUUUAAUCGAACUUUGUUCAAAAUCGUUUUUUGUUAGCAAUGAUUUACCCUUACAUACAUUAUACAUUUAUUAUUAUUAUUAUCACCAUAAACUAUAAAUAGGGUUCAGUGUUCGAUAUAAUUAUGCUCUGAAACUUCAGCAUAAAAUGCAAUGAGAGGGAGAGGGAGGACGGAAUACGAAAAUUCCGUAAAAUUUUAUUGAAACCCAUGUAAUAUUAUGUACCUGUGUAUAGCUCUCUUCUUGAUUGAGCUCUAGAUAGGCCACUAAAUAUAGAUAACUCAAUUAUAUACUUAUAUUAUAGAAUCUCUUAUAUGAUUAAAAUAUUAUGUAACAGA